rnacentral:rRNA from 1 species
GACGAACGCUGGCGGCGUGCUUAACACAUGCAAGUCGAACGGAAAGGCCCUGCUUUUGUGGGGUGCUCGAGUGGCGAACGGGUGAGUAACACGUGAGUAACCUGCCCUUGACUUUGGGAUAACUUCAGGAAACUGGGGCUAAUACCGGAUAGGAGCUCCUGCUGCAUGGUGGGGGUUGGAAAGUUUCGGCGGUUGGGGAUGGACUCGCGGCUUAUCAGCUUGUUGGUGGGGUAGUGGCUUACCAAGGCUUUGACGGGUAGCCGGCCUGAGAGGGUGACCGGCCACAUUGGGACUGAGAUACGGCCCAGACUCCUACGGGAGGCAACAGUGGGGAGUAUUGCACAAUGGGCGGAAGCCUGAUGCAGCAACGCCGCGUGCGGGAUGACGGCCUUCGGGUUGUAAACUGCUUUCGCCUGUGACGAAGCGUGAGUGACGGUAAUGGGUAAAGAAGCACCGGCUAACUACGUG